GCCUGGGUGGCUCAGUUGGUUGAGUGUCUGACUUCAGCUCAGGUCAUAUCUCAUGGCUCGUGAGGUCGAACCCCACUUCAGGCU
rnacentral:tRNA from 1 species